rnacentral:rRNA from 1 species
GACGGAGGGUGCAAGCGUUAUUCGGAAUCAUUGGGCGUAAAGAGCGUGUAGGCGGCCGGUUAAGUCAGGUGUGAAAGCCCGGGGCUCAACCUCGGAAGUGCACUUGAAACUGCUUGGCUAGAGUACGGGAGAGGGGGAUGGAAUUCCAGGUGUAGAGGUGAAAUUCGUAGAUAUCUGGAGGAACACCGAUAGCGAAGGCAGUCCCCUGGACCGUUUCUGACGCUGAGACGCGAAAGCGUGGGGAGCAAACAGG